rnacentral:lncRNA from 1 species
GUAAAAGCUGAGGAGCUUCUUUUCCUUCCUCCUUUUGAAAGAAUUCCCUGAUCCUCUCUUGGCACCCAAAUAUUGUUUAUUUUCUUUCAUCUGCCAUUCCACCCUACAAAUUCCUUCACAGAUUUACGUUUUAGAAGAGGUGAUUUAAGAUUUGACACUUCUGCUUUUUUAGAAGAGGUGAUUUAAGAUUUGACACUUCUGCUUUAUUCAGCCAAAGGAACCCAAGCGCAGGUGUUCUCAGAGUCAAGAGUGACACUGGAAUUAGUCUGGAGAUGCUGAGCACAGCAGUGUGAGGAGGACUGCACACACCUUGUGAUCAGUGCUUCCUGUCAAACACUUGCAGCACAUUUUGGAGUUGAUAGCAGUGGUUUGCCUUGUGUGCUUUUCUUGAUGGAGGACUGUGGUUUCUAUCCACAGAAGAUCAGCACUCCCACCCAACCUGCUGCUGCCUGCAAACUGACUGAGGGUGCACUGCAUCCCCUCAUCCAGGUAGUGGACAAAGUUAUUAAACAGGAUUGGCCCCUGAACUGAGCCUUGGGGAACAUCACUAGUGGCCAGUUGGCAGCUGGAUGUGACUGCAUUUACAGCACCCUGGGCCUGGCCAUCCAGGCAGUUUUUACCAUCCAUAGUGCCAUGAAAGAAGCACAACAUCAAAGUUGUGCACACAAUUAAAUGCUCAAUGUGAAAUAUUGCCAAUUUCUAUUUACAAACAAGGAACCCACCAAAGUCAAAAUAUACAAAGCUUCCAAUAUGGAAAACCCUUGAAGCUUGCUGGUAUUGUCUGAAGCAGAAGAUGGUUGAAAAAGCAUUCCUGACUCUGUUUCUCCAGGAGAUACAUUGCCACACAGAAAUGAUGCAGAGGAGUUACUCAAAAGCCUGUAAAAUUAACAACAUAGCCAUGGGCAGUGGACUGAAAAUGCUAAUUAAUGUCUCAUCGUGGACUGUGGGAUGAGGCAAGAUUCAUUAUGUCCUGCCUCUGCCACUUAGUUCAGUUCUGAAGAUUUUGUAUUUUAAUGUAACUGGACCGGCAUUUCUGACUGAAUUUACUUAAAUAGUC